rnacentral:rRNA from 1 species
GAUGAACGCUAGCGACAGGCUUAACACAUGCAAGUCGAGGGGCAGCACGGGAGUAGCAAUACAACUGGUGGCGACCGGCGCACGGGUGAGUAACGCGUAUGCAACCUACCUAUCAGAGGGGAAUAACCCGGCGAAAGUCGGACUAAUACCGCAUAAAACAGGGGCACCGCAUGGUGAUAUUUGUUAAAGAAAUUCGCUGAUAGAUGGGCAUGCGUUCCAUUAGGUAGUUGGUGAGGUAACGGCGCACCAAGCCGACGAUGGAUAGGGGAACUGAGGGGUUGGUCCCCCACACUGGUGCUGGGACACGGACCAGACUCCUACGGGAGGCAGCAGUGAGGAAUAUUGGUCAAUGGGCGAGAGCCUGAACCAGCCAAGUCGCGUGAAGGAAGAAGGAUCUAUGGUUCGUAAACUUCUUUUGCAGGGGAAUAAAGUGCAGGACGUGUCCUGUUUUGUAUGUACCCUGAGAAUAAGGAUCGGCUAACUCCGUGCCAGCCGCCGCUGUAA